AUGGAUUACUGUAGGAUCUGGUAGACUUAGAGUUGUGGAUAAAAGGCAUAUUGCACAGUCUGUUGCUCUACAUAAUUCAUUUUCUGCACUUUCAGAGUGUAAUGGUGUUAUGGAGACAGGCACUGAGUGUAGUGGUGUUGUGGAGAGAGGCACUGAGGGUAGUGCUGUUGUGGAGAGAGGCACUGAGGGUAGUGGUGUUGUGGAGACAGGCUCAGGCACUUAGGCUAGUGGUGUUAUGGAGACAGGCUCAGGUACUGAGGGUAGUGGUGUUGUGGAGACAGGCUUGGUGACUAUGGCGAGGCCUAAUAGAAAGCAGUUGUUGUUGGGGGAUUCCAUCAUAAGAGGUGUGGAGAUGGACAAUGGUGGUCUUGUGAGAUGUCUUCCCGGAGCUACUGCUCACAGAGACAGGAGACGUAUUUGUAAUAUUGUUAAGCGAGCAAAGCAGGAAGGGGAAUUGGAUGUACUUGUCCAUCUAGGGACAAAUGACUUGGCUUGCAAUGAGGUUUCAGAGGUUAAGG